rnacentral:rRNA from 1 species
GAUGAACGCUGGCGGCGUGCCUAAUACAUGCAAGUCGAGCGAACAGACGAGGAGCUUGCUCCUCUGACGUUAGCGGCGGACGGGUGAGUAACACGUGGAUAACCUACCUAUAAGACUGGGAUAACUUCGGGAAACCGGAGCUAAUACCGGAUAACAUGUUGAACCGCAUGGUUCAACAGUGAAAGACGGUCUUGCUGUCACUUAUAGAUGGAUCCGCGCCGCAUUAGCUAGCUGGUAAGGUAACGGCUUACCAAGGCAACGAUGCGUAGCCGACCUGAGAGGGUGAUCGGCCACACUGGAACUGAGCCACGGUCCAGACUCCUACGGGAGGCAGCAGUAGGGAAUCUUCCGCAAUGGGCGAAAGCCUGACGGAGCAACGCCGCGUGAGUGAAGAAGGUCUUCGGAUCGUAAAACUCUGUUAUUAGGGAAGAACAAAUGUGUAAGUAACUAUGCACGUCUUGACGGUACCUAAUCAGAAAGCCACGGCUAACUACGUG